AAAGAAGCAUACUGUAUAAAAAUAAUAACAUAGAGCCCCAUUUCAGCUUGCAUUACCCUUGUUAUUGAUAAGAUUACAUAUUCAAUAAUUUGAACAGUUUUUAAAACUUAUUGAUGAGUUGAGAAAGGCUUGUAACCCUUAACAUCAGUUGCAAGUCCCUGGAUCGAUCCAGCAGCUGCCACAAGUGAUACGAUCAAACAAGUCCAGCUCAAUAUUUUCAGCCAUACCCAUGUGAAAGAAUACUUUGGUAUCUUUCUCUGAGCAAUGUGCAUCUCUAUUGGGAAAUAAACGGUUAAUGGAUAGAACGAUGCUGCUCCGAUCAGCCCCAAGAAGUAGUUGAAGAAGGGGAAUAUCAUCGCAAUCACCGCUGUCACUAUAACAUAGGUUGUUCUCCAAACCAACCUGAACAAGUUGAGGUUGUAAGUUCCACAGCAUGGAACUUGCAUCGCGUAUUCUGAGGUGAUGAAUUUGCUGUCUGGCCAGCGUUCGCUGCAACGAGCCUCCACAAAUCCAUAUAAUGGUUGGCAGAAAACCUGAUAAGCUCCGAUAAGGUGGACAGCGAUGCAGACGUUGGCAAAGUCAAUUAGCCAAAAAGGUUCAUAGAAACCAAAUCCAGUAAGAAAAUUUCCUGGAGCAUCGUUUCCAAAGGCUGCAUAGCCAAUGGUACCACAAAGUACAUAGAAUAAGGUUGUGGUGGAAACUCCAGCUAGUGAGGCUCUUUUCAUUACCUUGCUUUCUGGUGGUGAUGAUUUCAGUGUGUCCUGUAUUUCAAUAAGAACCGUGGAAUAAGCAUAAGCAAAUGCAAUAUCUCCAAUAGCUUGGAAACUUCUCCAUACUUUUUCUGUUCCAGAUACAUCCACACCUACUACCACCCCUGUUAGGGUUGUCUUCACAUGGUGCCCCACACCUGCGACUUUGGCUAUGGAUAGUCCAAGACCAAUAGAAGCAUAAGUAAAAGACAUAACAGCAGCAAGAAUUGAUAACCAUGAGAGCUUGUGGAAAUUUGGAAUUUGGCUAAGAACUAUUUGAAUUACUGCAAAUAUUAUCAUGUAUGGGUAGCUUCCAAUUGAGCAACUUGCUUCAUGCCCAUUUUUGUGAAAACAAUUUGACCUCCUUACAGCCACCAUACUAAUAGAUGCUGUAAUUGUAUAUCCAAUUGUUACUCCAACAAGGUUAGCAUAUUGUGCAAUUCCACACAAUGUCACCUUCACACCUCCUAAGUGAGAGCGGACAACGUCCAUGUAAGUAUAGUUUCUCUUGCCGGAAAUCGGUCCCGGAGACCGGUAAGAGUCAGCAAGAAGUGUAGAAGUGAAAUAUGUGAUGAAAGAAAAAGCUAAGAGAACAGCAGGACCAGCCACCCAUCCUAAUUGAGCUAUAGCCCAUGCUAGUGAAAGUACUCCUGAACCAAUCACAGCAGUAAUAAUAUGUGCACUCGCAGUCAACAAAGUCCCUGUUCUUUUUUCACGUCCAUCAUCAUCGAAGUUUUUCUGAACGUCUCCACUUUCGAGUUCAUUCGAGACAUACAUAGCGUUCUUUUGAAAUUCAGGUGCCAUAUUCUCAAGUGUGUGUUUUUGUGAGAUUUGGAGUUUUUAAGUACAAGAAUGGUUUAAGAAAAGAUGUAUUAUAUAAAAGAAGAGAUUGAAUUUUGUUGUUUAAAAAUUUAGGGUCAAAAGGGGGCCAAAAGUCUUUGGAGCCAAGAGUAGUGGGAGAAUUUGAAAAACUAUAAUUUUCUACUAAAAGAUUUCUUAAAAUCUUUACCUAAAAUACUAUAGUAGGAAAUUUUGGGUGUUAUAA
rnacentral:misc_RNA from 1 species